UACGGGGGGGAGCAAGCGUUGUUCGGAUUUACUGGGCGUAAAGGGCGCGUAGGCGGUCAGCACAAGUCAGUUGUGAAAUCUCCGGGCUUAACUCGGAAAGGUCAACUGAUACUGUGCGACUAGAGUGCGGAAGGGGCAACUGGAAUUCUUGGUGUAGCGGUGAAAUGCGUAGAUAUCUGGAGGAACACCAGCGGCGAAGGCGGCGCUCUGGGCCGGUACUGACACUGAGGAGCGAAAGCGUGGGGAGCGAACAGG
rnacentral:rRNA from 1 species